rnacentral:rRNA from 1 species
CCUACGGGUGGCAGCAGUGGGGAAUAUUGGACAAUGGGGGGAACCCUGAUCCAGCGAAGCAGCGUGAGUGAAGAAGGAUUUCGGGAGGUAAAGCUCUAUCAGCAGGGAAGAAAAUGACGGUACCUGACUAAGAAGCCCCGGCUAACUACGGGACAGCAGCCGCGGUAAGACGGAGGGGGCAAGCGUUAUACGGAUUUACUGGGGGGAAAGGGAGCGUAGAAGGUGCCGCAAGUCUGAUGUGAAAGGUCGGGGCCCAACCCCGGGACUGCAUGGGAAACUGUUGAACUGGAGUACAGGAGAGGUCAGCGUAAUUCCUUUUGUAGCGGUGCACUGCUUAGCUCUUAGG